CUUGUAGUCAUAUCCUGUCUCAAAGAUUAAGCCAUGCAUGUCUAAGUAUAAGCAAUUGUACUGCGAAACUGCGAAUGGCUCAUUAAAUCAGUUAUCGUUUACUUGAUAAUUAUUGACUACAUGGAUACCUGUGGUAAUUCUAGAGCUAAUACAUGCUAAAAAUCCCGACUUUCGAAGGGAUGUGUUUAUUAGAUUCAAAACCAAUGCCCUUUUGGGCUCUCUGGUGAUUCAUGGUAACCUAUCGAAUCGCACGGCCUUGCGCCGGCGAUGGUUCAUUCAAAUUUCUGCCCUAUCAACUUUCGACGGCUGGAUAUGGGCCCGCCGUGGUAACAACGGGUAACGGAGGGUUAGGGCUUGAUCCCGGAGAAGGAGCCUGAGAAACGGCUACUACAUCCAAGGAGGGCAGCAGGCGCGCAAAUUACCCAAUCCCAAUACGGGGAGGUAGUGACAAUAAAUACUGAUACAGGGCUCUUUUGGGUCUUGUAAUUGGAAUGAGUACAAUUUAAAUCCCUUAACGAGGAACAAUUGGAGGGCAAGUCUGGUGCCAGCAGCCGCGGUAAUUCCAGCUCCAAGAGCGUAUAUUAAAGUUGUUGAGGUUAAAAAGCCCGUAGUUGAACCUUGGGCCUGGCCGGCUGGUCCGCCUCACCGCGUGUAUUGGCGCGGCUGGGUCUUUCCUUCUGGAGAACCGCAUGCCCUUUACUGGGUGUGUUGGGG
rnacentral:rRNA from 1 species